rnacentral:rRNA from 1 species
UGCAGUCGACGGAAAGGCCCUUCGGGGUGCUCGAGUGGCGAACGGGUGAGUAACACGUGGGUGAUCUGCCCUGCACUUUGGGAUAAGCCUGGGAAACUGGGUCUAAUACCGGAUAGGACCACGGUCUGCAUGGAUUGUGGUGGAAAGCUUUUGCGGUGUGGGAUGGGCCCGCGGCCUAUCAGCUUGUUGGUGGGGUGAUGGCCUACCAAGGCGACGACGGGUAGCCGGCCUGAGAGGGUGUCCGGCCACACUGGGACUGAGAUACGGCCCAGACUCCUACGGGAGGCAGCAGUGGGGAAUAUUGCACAAUGGGCGCAAGCCUGAUGCAGCGACGCCGCGUGAGGGAUGACGGCCUUCGGGUUGUAAACCUCUUUCAAUAGGGACGAAGCGCGAGUGACGGUACCUAUAGAAGAAGCACCGGCCAACUACGUGCCAGCAGCCGCGGUAAUACGUAGGGUGCGAGCGUUGUCCGGAAUUACUGGGCGUAAAGAGCUCGUAGGUGGUUUGUCGCGUUGUUCGUGAAAACUCACAGCUUAACUGUGGGCGUGCGGGCGAUACGGGCAGACUGGAGUACUGCAGGGGAGACUGGAAUUCCUGGUGUAGCGGUGGAAUGCGCAGAUAUCAGGAGGAACACCGGUGGCGAAGGCGGGUCUCUGGGCAGUAACUGACGCUGAGGAGCGAAAGCGUGGGGAGCGAACAGGAUUAGAUACCCUGGUAGUCCACGCCGUAAACGGUGGGUAC